rnacentral:rRNA from 1 species
CACGUAGGGGGCAAGCGUUGUCCGGAUUUAUUGGGCGUAAAGAGCUCGUAGGCGGUUCGGUAAGUCGGGUGUGAAACCUCCAGGCUCAACCUGGAGACGCCACCCGAUACUGCUGUGACUAGAGUCCGGUAGGGGAGCGUGGAAUUCCUGGUGUAGCGGUGAAAUGCGCAGAUAUUAGGAGGAACACCAGCGGCGAAGGCGGCGCUCUGGGCCGGAACUGACGCUGAGGAGCGAAAGCGUGGGGAGCAAACAGG